rnacentral:rRNA from 1 species
GACGUAGGGCGCGAGCGUUGUCCGGAUUUAUUGGGCGUAAAGAGCUCGUAGGCGGCUUGUCGCGUCGUUCGAUUGAAAACCCGGGGCUCAACUCCGGGCUUCGCGGGCGAUACGGGAGGCUAGAGUCGUUAGGGGAGACUGGAAUUCCGUGGUGUAGCGGGUGAAAUGCGCGAUAAUCAGGAGGAACACCGGUGGCGAAGGCGG